AAAGAAGCUGCAGCACAGAGUGGCAAGGCUUCCCCAGAAGUUUGGAAGUUAACCUCUGGGGACACCCUCGUGCAGAGGUGGCAGCAGAAGGAGACAGAGCAGUGUGGCUGGGAAGCACUGAGAGAAGCUGAAAUUUCCUCUUCCCUCAUGUCUGUGGGAUUUCCAGCACAUCUGCAUUGCUGGGAGGCUGUGUGCCAUCUACAUUACCCCCUGUUAUGAAGAGGAAAGAAGUUUUAUGAUGGCAAAUGUGAGACCUGAG